ACAAGACAUAGACAUAAGCUCUAUUAUAUAUCUUUUUGAUUUCACAUAUAUUUAACGCUGCAAGGAUAUGACGUUGCGAUAUAGUAAUUUGCUUUUUAUAGCAGCGUUUAUCCUAGGAUGCACAGCACAGGACACUGUAAUACAGUCUAAACCAGUUAUGACAGCUUAUGAAGAUGGAACAGCCACUCUUGACUGCACUUACAAAGCAACCAGCACUCAAUAUCCAAAUCUCCUCUGGUACCAACAAAAGACUAAUGGAUUGCCAAAAUACAUGCUGAUCAGACUUUCUGGAUCUGGUAGCAAUGAUGAAGAGUUCAGCGACAGAUUUAAUGCAAGUCUCCACACAUCUACAUCAACAGUUCCUCUGACAAUCACGAAUAAUGUAGAGGAGAAGAAACAGUCAACCAACCAGAAAGAAAUCAGACUGAAUUGGAGGGAAAGUCAGUCACAAUAAACUGUAAAUAUAGCAGUGCUUCAACAGC